GAUGAACGCUAGCGGCAGGCCUAAUACAUGCAAGUCGAACGGGUGGUCGCAAGACCCCUAGUGGCGCACGGGUGCGUAACGCGUAACCAACCUGCCCCGAUCUGGGGGAUAGCCCGCCGAAAGGCGGAUUAAUACCGCAUAUACCCGCAGCCUGGCAUCAGGCAACGGGGAACGAUUUAUUGGAUCGGGAUGGGGUUGCGUGACAUUAGCUAGUUGGAGGGGUAAGGGCCCACCAAGGCGACGAUGUCUAGGGGACCUGCGAGGGUGCUCCCCCACACUGGCACUGGGAUACGGGCCAGACUCCUACGGGAGGCAGCAGUAGGGAAUAUUGGGCAAUGGGCGAGAGCCUGACCCAGCCAUGCCGCGUGCCGGAUGAAGGCCUUCUGGGUUGUAAACGGCUUUUCUCAGGGAAGAAAAAGACCUUGCGAGGUACACUGACGGUACCUGAGGAAUAAGCACCGGCUAACUCCGUG
rnacentral:rRNA from 1 species